UUUCAAUGCCGUCACCAAUUACUCCCUAACACCAACCCCACGUCAUAGUGGAGUACAGAGCGGGAAAGAAGAAAAACACAGCGCAAGAAAGUAAAUGAGAGGAUAACUUUUAAGAAACUUAAAUAAUUUUUGUUGUGGUAGAAUUAGAAGGUACUUUCUCUGCAAUGACCUUGAAGGUGGUCUUUCCCUGUUUUUGAUAUAAAAUCUAACCGAAAAGUUGUAUUUUCGCAAUAAGUUGAUCUCUAGAGAAUUCCUGACUACUUAUGGUCUGUGUCUCUUAAAUUGAAACUACAGAGUCUCUACUGUUAUAAUUUGAAAAUCUUGUUCUUGUUUUUGUUUGUUUUUGUUUAGCAGAAAUGAGUGACCCAAAGUAUGCUUAUCCUUACCCUGCUCAAGGUUAUUAUCAAGGACCCCCAGUGAUGGCACCUCCACAAUAUGCAGCACCACCACCCAAAAGAGAGCCUGGUUUCCUUGAAGGAUGGUAAUUUCUUCUACCCAUAUGAUUUUUCCACAUGCAUAUUUUCCUUUUCUUUCUUAUUUCCCCUAAAAAAACUAGCUAAAACUUCACAUAUUUUUCCAAGAAAUUUAGCAUUGUUUUGGCUUUAUUUAUUGUCGAAUCCUGAUUAUAUGCUUGUUUGUUUCCCUUGUUGUUGAUUACUACAGCCUUGCAGCUUUGUGUUGCUGCUUCCUUAUUGACGAGUGUUGCUGUGACCCAUCCAUCAUCCUUGUUAGCUGAUAAAGCUGUAACUUGUUCCAAAUACAAACAUAAAUAUGUGGAGUCGUUGAUCUAGGAACAUUUCAAUCCAAUUGUCUACUAUGUUAAAAUCUUUGUUUCUGUUGUUCGUACAAUAUUAUAUUUGAAUCCCUAUUCUCAUUCCCCUUAGGCUUUUGCAUCUCUGCUUUAUUUUCAUUAAACUCUUUGCACUGGUCUCUUU
rnacentral:misc_RNA from 1 species